UACAGAGGUCCCAAGCGUUGUUCGGAUUUACUGGGCGUAAAGGGUGCGUAGGCGGCUUGAAAAGUCUGAUGUGAAAUCUCGAAGCUCAACUUCGAAACUGCACUGGAAACUGUUAAGCUAGAGUAAUGGAAGGGAGACUGGAAUGCUCGGUGUAGCAGUGAAAUGCGUAGAUAUCGAGCGGAACAUCAGUGGCGAAGGCGAGUCUCUGGACAUUAACUGACGCUGAGGCACGAAAGCCAAGGGAGCAAACGGG
rnacentral:rRNA from 1 species